rnacentral:tRNA from 1 species
GAGUGUAUAGCUCAGUGGUAGAGUGCCUGCUUAGCAUGCAUGAGGUCUUGGGUUCAAUCCCCACUACCUCCA